rnacentral:tRNA from 1 species
GACCUUGUAGCUCAAUGGAUAGAGCGUUGCCCUGCGAAGGCAAAGGUUGCGAGUUCGAGUCCCGCCGAGGUCA